rnacentral:rRNA from 1 species
GAUGAACGCUGGCGGCGUGCCUAAUACAUGCAAGUCGAGCGAACAGAUGAGGAGCUUGCUCCUCUGACGUUAGCGGCGGACGGGUGAGUAACACGUGGAUAACCUACCUAUAAGACUGGGAUAACUUCGGGAAACCGGAGCUAAUACCGGAUAAUAUAUUGAACCGCAUGGUUCAAUAGUGAAAGACGGUUUUGCUGUCACUUAUAGAUGGAUCCGCGCCGCAUUAGCUAGUUGGUAAGGUAACGGCUUACCAAGGCAACGAUGCGUAGCCGACCUGAGAGAGUGACCGGCCACACUGGAACUGAGACACGGUCCAGACUCCUACGGGAGGCAGCAGUAGGGAAUCUUCCGCAAUGGGCGAAAGCCUGACGGAGCAACGCCGCGUGAGUGAUGAAGGUCUUCGGAUCGUAAAACUCUGUUAUUAGGGAAGAACAAAUGUGUAAGUAACUAUGCACGUCUUGACGGUACCUAAUCAGAAAGCCACGGCUAACUACGUG